AAGAAUGUAGAUAUGGCCAAGGUGGUGGGCAUGUAGAUUGCUUAUAUGGCUAUGGAGAAAAUCCAGGUGCUAGCCUUGGCCAUGGAGGUUCUGUCAGUUGUGCUGAAGUGUAUGGAAUGACUCAGGCUCAAGUAACCAGUGCAAUAGAUGGAGAUGGAUUGAAUGCAUCCACUGGUGAGAGUUUUGCUGGAGAGGAAACCAAUCCUUCACAGGUUACAAUGAUAGGUGGUGGGCUAGCAGCUGAAGGAGUGAGUGGCGUUGGCGAUGAGACGGCAGGAGGAACUCCAUAGCCUUCAUGGUGUGAGAGUGUGAGGAUGUGUUCUAUAAAGAAUAGCCAGUAUGUUUAUCCUAGUGAGUGCUAGCUACACUUUUGAUUAGUUUGCUUACUGGGUUUGGACAAUGGAUAGAUUUUAUGCUGAAAUCUAGUGCUAUGGUUUCCACUCAGCAAUUUUACUAUUGGAUAAAUUUUGGCUGGGUGGCAAUAGUGAGCAAUAAUAUGUGUUCUUCGAGACUUUUUUCGAGCGAGGUCAUGCCUGACUAGCUGAUUUGAAAAUUUUAUCAGCCUGAACUAGUAAACAAAGCAUAGAUUUUGGUCAGUAUAUAGUCCAUGAGGGUCUAAAGAUAGCUUAAAUCUCCAAUUUCUGUGUUGAGAGGGAUUAAUGACCAUAUACCCAUUUCCAUUCUUCUCCGAGGUCAUCUUAUGAUGAAUGGA
rnacentral:lncRNA from 1 species